GAUGAACGCUGGCGGCGUGCUUAAUACAUGCAAGUCGAACGAACAGAUCAGUAUCUUGCUGUUCUGACGUUAGCGGCGGACGAGUGACUCGUACGUAGCUUACCCUCGUCUUAGACUUAGCUACAUUCGGCAAAGCGUAGCUACUACUAGGUACUAUUUUUGCCUGGAUGGUUUAGUAAUGAAUCGCCGGUUGGGUGUGAAUUCGCGACGGAUCCGCGCCUUGUUAGCUAGUUGGCUUGGUAACGGCUUGACAAGGAACCGAUGUGUAGCCGACGCGCGCGGGGGGUGCGGCACACUGGAACUGAGACGCGGUCCAGACUCCUACGGGAGGCAGCAGUAGGUAAUCUUCCGCAAUGGGCGAAAGCCUGACGGAGCAACGCCGCGUGAAUGAAGAAGGGCUUCGGAUCGUAAAACUCUGUUAUCAGGGAAGAACGAAUUUGUAAGUAACUGUGCACAUCUUGACGGUACCUGAUCAGAAAGCCACGGCUAACUACGUG
rnacentral:rRNA from 1 species